rnacentral:rRNA from 1 species
AACGAACGCUGGCGGCAGGCUUAACACAUGCCAGUCGAACGCACCUUUCGGGGUGAGUGGCAGACGGGUGAGUAACGCGUGGGAAUCUACCCUUCUCUACGGGAUAGCUCCGGGAAACUGGAAUUAAUACCGUAUACGUCCUGAGGGAGAAAGAUUUAUCGGGGAAGGAUGAGCCCGCGUUGGAUUAGCUAGUUGGUGGGGUAAAGGCCUACCAAGGCGACGAUCCAUAGCUGGUCUAAGAGGAUGAUCAGCCACAUUGGGACUGAGACACGGCCCAAACUCCUACGGGAGGCAGCAGUGGGGAAUAUUGGACAAUGGGCGCAAGCCUGAUCCAGCCAUGCCGCGUGAGUGAUGAAGGCCCUAGGGUUGUAAAGCUCUUUCAUUGGGGACGAUAAUGACGGUACCCACAGAAGAAGCCCCGGCUAACUUCGUG